rnacentral:tRNA from 1 species
AUUACUUUGGCAGAUUAGUGCAUUAAAUUUAGAAUUUAAAAUUAAAUAUAAGAUUUAUAAUAUAUAAGUAAUA